rnacentral:rRNA from 1 species
AUUCCAGCUCCAAUAGCGUAUAUUAAAGUUGUUGCAGUUAAAAAGCUCGUAGUUGGAUUUGUGGUUGGGUCCGUCGGUCCGGCACAUUGUGCGGGUACUUGAUGGACUCGUCCAUCCUUGGGUGGAAUCUGUGUGGCAUUAAGUUGUCGUGCAGGGGAUGCCCAUCGUUUACUGUGAAAAAAUUAGAGUGUUCAAAGCAGGCUUAUGCCGUUGAAUAUAUUAGCAUGGAAUAAUGAGAUAGGACCUUGGUACUAUUUUGUUGGUUUGCGCACCGAGGUAAUGAUUAAUAGGGACAGUUGGGGGUAUUCGUAUUCCAUUGUCAGAGGUGAAAUUCUUGGAUUUUUGGAAGACGAACUACUGCGAAAGCAUUUACCAAGGAUGUUUUCAUCG